rnacentral:rRNA from 1 species
UACGUAGGGGGCAAGCGUUGUCCGGAUUUAUUGGGCGUAAAGAGCGUGUAGGCGGCCAUACAGGUCAGCUGUGAAAACUCGAGGCUCAACCUCGAGACGUCGGUUGAAACCGUAUGGCUAGAGUCCGGAAGAGGAGAGUGGAAUUCCCGGUGUAGCGGUGAAAUGCGCAGAUAUCGGGAAGAACACCCGUGGCGAAGGCGGCUCUCUGGGACGGUACUGACACUGAGGCGCGACAGCGUGGGGAGCAAACAGG